UUAAUUGUAACACUAACUUUAUUUAAGUCAACAUAUCCAAAGUAUUAUCAUUUCAAUGUGUAAACUAUAUAAAAAUUAUUAAUGAGAUAUUAUAAUCUUUUCUUCAUACUAAGUCUGAAGUUGGUGUGCAUUUUCAGUUUCAGUGCAUCUCAUUUUGGCCUAACCACAUUUUAAGAGCUCAGUAGCCUCAUGUGACUAGUGGCUACUGUGUUGGACAGCAUAGCGUUAGAUAAUUCUCCAAGCUGAAGAGAGAGGUCAAAUAAGAGAGCGACAGUGGCUCCAAGAUACAGCUGGGGUGCCAGGGUGGGGGGUCGGCGAGGAGUCACAAUGACUCAUAGAAUGUCCAGGGAGUUUUGGGGAUCUGAGAGCACAGGAACCUGUGCUCACGUCUCAGGUGGGGCCAGGGUGAACAGGGGAGGGUAGAAGUGGCAACUAGAUGCGUCUAGGACAGCGCCCCACGUCUGCCACAUCCCCCCAAGUCUCCAGAGUGGCACAGGGGAACAUCCAACAGUUCCCCAGUCCCUAAGAGGAGUGAGGACGUGGCUCAGGAAGAAUCGUCACCAUCAGAAUAGGCCGCUGCAAGUGCAGGACUGAUGAUCCGAGUCGAUGGGAAUGUGGACACAGCAGUGAACGCCAGCCUAGAGGGGCGCUGAUGGCCAAAGACCUGACGCUUCACAUCAUGUCUCCUAAACUUCAGUGCCACUCUGGGGAGAUGAGAGGGAAAGGAGAAGUUCUGAAUUCAUAGUUUACCUGAAAUGAUGAAAAAACCCAGAGAUGAGGAAACUGAGGCCAAGAGAGUUUGGGCAACCUGUCGAAAAUCACACAGUGCUAGAAUUAUGAAUAAAACUCAAGUCUCUUAACUAUCAAUCCAAUGUCCUUUUAGUGCCUUUAUAUAAAACUUAAACGGCAGUACAACAUACUGCUGCUUUAAAAAAAGAAAAUUCCACUGCCAGCCCAGUGGCAUAGUGAUUAGGUUCCCACACUCCACUUCAGCGGCCUGGGUUUCAUGGGUUCAGAUCCCUGGCGCAGACCUGGCAGCAUUCAUCAGGCCACGCUGUGGCGGCAUCCCACAUAAAGUAGAGGAAGAUUGCCUCAGAUGUAGGCUCAGUGACAAUCUUCCUCAAGCAAAAAGAGGAAGAUGGGCAACAGAUGUUAGCUCAGGGCCAAUCUUGCUCACACACACACACAAAAAAG
rnacentral:lncRNA from 1 species